rnacentral:rRNA from 1 species
UACGUAGGGUGCGAGCGUUAAUCGGAAUACUGGGCGUAAAGUGUGCGCAGGCGGCCGCGCAAGUCGAGUGUGAAAGCCCCGAGCUUAACUUGGGAAUUGCGCUCGAAACUUACGUGGCUGGAGUGUGGCAGAGGAAGGUGGAAUUCCAGGUGUAGCGGUGAAAUGCGUAGAGAUCUGGAGGAACACCGAUGGCGAAGGCAGCCUUCUGGGCCAACACUGACGCUCAGUGCACGAAAGCGUGGGGAGCAAACAGGAUUAG